GGAGGUUAGGUUAGUACUACAGUCGGGCUCGGGGAAUGAACGCUGGCGGCGUGCUUAACACAUGCAAGUCGAACGGAGAUAAAAAGCAGCUUGCUGCUUCUAUCUUAGGUCGGCGGACGGGUGAGUAACGCGUGGAUAACCUACCUUACACAGGGGAAUAACCAGCGAGAAAUCGUUGCUAAUACCCCAUACGUGUUGAUAUCGCAUGAUACCGACACAAAAAACUCCGGUGGUGUAAGAUGGAUCCGCGUCUGAUUAGCUAGUUGGUGAGAUAAUAGCUCACCAAGGCAACGAUCAGUAGCCGGCUUGAGAGAGUGACCGGCCACACUGGGACUGAGACACGGCCCAGACUCCUACGGGAGGCAGCAGUGGGGAAUAUUGCACAAUGGGGGAAACCCUGAUGCAGCGACGCCGCGUGAAGGAAGAAGGUUUUCGGAUCGUAAACUUCUAUCAGCAGGGACGAAGAAAGUGACUGUACCUGACUAAGAAGCCCCGGCUAACUACGUGCCAGCCGCGGC
rnacentral:rRNA from 1 species